GGUGGUAGUAGAAAAUAUUCAAAUGAGAACUUUGAAGAGUGAAGUGGGGAAAUGUUCCAUGUGAACAUCACUUGGACAUGGGUUAGUCGAUCCUAAGAGAUGGGGAAUACUUGUAUCAAGGGUGCACUCUGCAUGAACAUUGAAGGAGAAUUGGGAUAAUAUUCCCGAACUGAGACAUGGUGGUGGAUGACAAUGUUAGGAAAUCUGGAGAUAUCAUCAGGGGCCUGGGAAGAGUUAUAUUUUCUUUCUAAUGACUUUCCCACCCUGAAAUCAGUUCAACUGGAGAUAAGGUCCAAUAUUUGGAAGAGAACCACACAUUUUGCAGUGUUUGGUGUGCCCUCAGCGGCCAUUGAAAAUAUGGAUAACCGAGUACCAUCCAUGCCCGAUCGUACUCAUAUCUUCCUCCUUGGAUUUUUCAAUGCCCACCAGGU
rnacentral:ncRNA from 1 species